UCCGGGCGGACGCCGAGUCCUGCCGCCGCCCGGAUGACCGGUCGACAGGAGUGGAUCGGCAGGAGUGGAGGACCCAAGCACGACGGGUCGCCGGAACGGCCGCACCACGACCGGACCGAGCAGCCCUUGGGGUGAAGCCGUGACAACGCGGCCGGGCAACUUCGCCAGCCCGAAUCCGACAGGUCAUCCUUCACAGGCGGCUGACGAAGGGUUG
rnacentral:sRNA from 2 species